AAACCAUUUUUCAAAAAAAAAAAUGGGAAAUGAUCAAUAGGUGCACUUCUAGCUCAGGCAGGGGACUUUGUAUUACUGUUGCAAUACUAUUCAUCCUUGUUCCUACUUGUAUGAAGUAAUAUCUAUAGUACAAUGCAGACUCUGUCUUUCGUCAUAAGAACUUUGUCAAUGAAAGAUGCUCUUUGUUUGACACAGUCAGACUUCCCACUGUGUGCAAAACAAAUUUGGGGCAAUUCAGCUUUUGGGGCGUAAGAGAAAAGUGUUUCAUAUUUUGCAUAAAUGGUGACUCCCUGGGGUCAGUGAGGUGGGGCUAAUAUAUUGCAGAAAUGUAAAAAAAAAAAAAAAAAGGAAAAAAAAAACCCACUAAAUUCCUUCCUGCAUUUGGUCCAUAUUUCUGUAGAAAGGUAGAAAAAUAAUUGUAAAUUAAAAUGUUACUUAAGAUGAUUUUGCCAUGUUAACUGAAAUAGCCAGGUGAGCAAUGCAGGCCCUCUGGGCCUCUUGUUUAAUAUUAUUUUUAAAUCUUUAUUUCUUUUCUAGAAGGUACCAAAAUGAUGAAUGAAUCCAAUGUAUCCCACUCCAUCCUAUGAAUACAAUGAGAUAAGAUCCUCAAAAGGCAUCUCCUCUCUAUUGAGUGAUCAGGACUUCCAGUUUUUCAUCUUUCAGGGAAAGGACCAACAUGAUCAUUCUAUUAAGUCAUGGGAAACAAGACUGGCCUAGCUGCUGUAAAAGUGUAUUAUUUUGAAUAUUACUUGAAGUUGCAAAAAAAAAAAAAAAUAUUUCAAACAAAUCCAGCAUUCUCUCCAUUCGAUCUACAAGGCACUGGCUUUGUAAGUUACAUAUUCAUGGAUUUCUCACUGAUCAAUCUGACACAAGAAAACUGAUGCUGGUAAAAGAUUUUUUUGGAAAUGGCAGAAUGGUACUAGUUGGUGUAGGCACUUAAGGUAACGAAUUAUGUCUGAAAAAAAAAUGUAGCAUAAAUACUACAAAUUACUGAGUAAGAUUUCUAUAGUUUGACUUAGUUAUUUUCUCAUAUUUGGAAAGUUUUCUCAUAUGUGGCAUAACUGUUUGCUUGUGCAGUUUAGGUGUGAUUCAAGUGAUGUAUGUCUUCAGUGAGGGUACCAGAGGUGACAAACAGGAUACCAGUUUUUAUCCGAAAUGAUCUCAGGAAGGUUGAAAAGAAAACAUGAUGAUGAUGUGUAGAAGUAGAGUGUAAGGUUACCUUACUAUUAACUCUGAAUGUAAACUUUGAACAUAUAUUUCUGACUUCAUGUAACAUUUUAUUUACAGGCCAUCCAUGACAAAGAUGUCUUGAUGAAUGACAGAAAAAUCAAACAAUGCCAUUGACCUUGAUUAAAACCAGUAUUAGCUGUCACUUCUGAAUAAGGAUCCUGUGUGAAAAGUCAUGAUUUCACCUCUACCCCUAACCCGGAUGUAUGUAAUCCAUGUUGGUGACACAUUUUGACAGCUAUCUCCAGAAACUGCCCAACAUGCUGUGUUGAAACUUUUAUAUUUUGCUUCUCAGAUGUUGGUCUUGGCCAGGCAGUCACACCAUUGAACAACUGGCUGGUGAGAGUUAACAGCUUCAGUGUUCUCCCGGCAGAUUACCGAGGAAACUUCCCAAACAUCAGGUCUACCAACACUGUAUUCUUGUCUCGUGAUGUUAAAUAUCGUAUGGAGAGAAGUUCUUCCUUUAAGAUUGUG